rnacentral:tRNA from 1 species
GUUUCUGUAGUUGAAUACAACGAUAUCUUUUCGCGUUAGAAGUCUUGGUUAAAAUCCGAGCAGGAAUU